UUUUGUCACUUUGAGUUCAGGAGUUACUGAGACUUUAUUAACACACAAAAUGUUUAUUUUUUCUGUUUAGAAUUAAAUCUACAUUCUGAUUCAACUAAACUUCAUUCUAAUGAUGUUUGAUUGUAACAUGUCAGAGAGCAGAGAGGAUCUGAUACAAGUUACUGGUAGUUUGGAUUCAACUUGAUAAAAUCCACUGAUCAGUUUGUAUUAAAGGCCUCAUUAUUCCAUGUUUUAUCAUUUCAGAUCAUUCCUGGAUCAUAGUCGGUUUGGCUGUUGGUUUGCCUCUUGGUGUGUUGGUCUGCCUCCUGUUAGCUGCAGCAGUUUUUCUUUGCAGACAAUACAGGAAAAGGAAGACUUUGGAAAAUGAAAAACCAGAAGAGCUUGAACAUCUGGAGAGAAAUCAUUCAGAAACCAAGAAUCAGCUCCUGGAGAAGAAACAGAAAAAUGAGAUCCUGGAGUAUGAGCUG